AUGGACCAGCUUUUAUGAACUUAUGGAAGCCAUUGUUGAGCAGCCACCGCCUUGUGCAUCUACUAAUCAAUUUUCUGCAGAAUUCUGCUCUUUCAUUUCUGCAUGCAUACAGAAAGACCCAAAUGACAGAAAGUCAGCGCAUGAACUUAUGGCACAUCCUUUUAUCAGCAUGUACAGAGACUUGAAUGUUGAUCUUGCAACAUACUUCACCAAUGCAGGAUCUCCACUCGCUACAUUUUAAAAGUUUGUCUGGUAUGUUCUGUGCUUGGUAAAUCCUUUCUUGAAAAUGCAAGUAGUCAACUUCCUUGAGUUGAGCUUCUAAGGUGGGCUAGGCCUUUCCAAAUGAUGUUUCUCAUGUACUGGCAGUUUGCUUCAAUCAUGAGACAUGAAUUUUAACUUUGUCAUUCCUUUCUCCUGCUGUUACAUAGAUAAUAAUACUCUUCUCUUUCCUUUUUAAGCCA